rnacentral:tRNA from 1 species
UAGCGAAAUAGUUCAUCGGCAGAACAACGGAAUCAUAAAUCGUAUGUAGUGAGUUCGAUUCUCACUUUCGUUAU